rnacentral:ncRNA from 1 species
AACCUGUAUUCCGAACUGUCACCGGAUGGUGGCGUGGCCAAGACAUUGGUCUAGGAACGUGGUUGGAA